UACAGAGGGGGGCAAGCGUUAUUCGGAAUUACUGGGCGUAAAGCGUGCGCAGGCGGUUGUGCAAGACAGGUGUGAAAUCCCCGGGCUUAACCUGGGAACUGCAGUCGAGACUGUCUAGCUAGAGUAUGGGAGAGGGUAGUGGAAUUCCCGGUGUAGCGGUGAAAUGCGUAGAUAUCGGGAGGAACAUCAGUGGCGAAGGCGGCUACCUGGCCCAAUACUGACACUCAGGUGCGACAGCGUGGGGGAGCAAACAGG
rnacentral:rRNA from 1 species